CCGUUCAGCUAGCUAUGCAUGUGUAAGUUUAAAGACCAAGUAGGAUGAAACUGCGGACGGCUCAUUAUAACAGUAAUAGUUUCUUUGGUUAGUCGGUACAAGGAUAACUUUGUGAAUGAUAAAGCUAAUACUUGAGACGAUCCGGGAAGUAUUUAUACUUUCCGGCCCUCGGCCGCGAGGUUGGGGAAAAACGACAUUCUCUUGUGAAAAAGGAUGCCGCGACAAUUGAGGAAAGCGACGCUUUUAACAAGUAACCAAUGGGAAUUUCUGAUCUAUCAAUUUGUUGGUAGUAUCGAGGACUACCAAGAUUAUAACGGAUAACGAGGAAUUGGGGUUCGACAUCGGAGAGGGAGCCUUACAGAUGGCUACCACUUCUAAGGAAGGCAGCAGGCGCGUAAAUUACCCACUUUCGACCCGAAGAGGUAGUGACGACAAAUAACUCUUGGCGCCCCUCGGGGUGACUUGAAGGAAUGAUUUAGAAGUAAAUUCUCUAAAGAAAUCAAUUGGAGGGCAAGUCUGGUGCCAGCAGCCGCGGUAAUUCCAGCUCCAAUAGUGA
rnacentral:rRNA from 1 species